GCAUCUCCAAACUACCCUAAACACACCCUACGAUCCUGAACAAAUCUCCUCUGAAGCUAAGCAGGGCCAGACCUGGUUAGUACCUGGAUCGGGGCCCACUUAGGAAUACCAGGUGCCAUAGGCU